CCUUUUUAUAUGCAGGGCACAGUCAGGUUUCUCAUUCGGACAUUCUCUGGUGCCUGUGGUGUGGAUCAGCAUCAGCAUGCUUUUGAUAGGCCCGAUAGGUUCUUUCUAAAAAUUCAGAAGGGCCUUUGUUUGAUUUCUGUUAAAUCACCUUUAUUAUUUUCAGGCUCUUUUUUUGGGCACCCUUUUCUUAACCCCUUCCAAUAUGUGCCUUUUGUAAUGUUCUAGGAAGCCUAUGUCCCUGAUAUUCAGGUCCCAGUUGGGUCCUUUCAAGAAAAUUGCCUCAGCUUUGUUGGGGGUCCCAUUGAGAUUCUCCUGAUGGAGGCGAUGAGCUUCUUCAUUAGCCUUGUUUAUAACUAGUUGCCUUUCAUCUGCCAUUAGCAGGGUGUUAAAGAGAGCCUGUACGUCUGCCCAGUUUCAAUGGUGAGUGGCAAAAGGUGGAGGUGAAAGAUCUGCCAAUCUCUGAGGAUCCUCCCUGUAUGAGGGGUUGGAAUUCUUCUAAUUUAGUAAAUCUGACAUGGAAACUGAAGUAUGUGUCCAGUAGUGGCCAGCAGGCUGGCCGUCCUGGUUUAAUCUGCCAGUGGGAUGUUGCCUCCAAAGGAAUUAUCUUGAUCUGGAGAGAGAUGCUUCCUGGCCAGAGUGGGUGCUUUGCCGGGUCUUCAAGGGAAAGACCAUUCCUUUCUCAUAUAGGGGUGGGACUGUUGUCCCUCUGGGCCCUGUUUCAGGGGUAUCUAGCAGCGAGGUUGGUGACAGGGGGAAUCUUGCUGCUAACCCUGUGUUUCCUAGGUUCAGGGCAUUACAGAGACUCAUUUUUCAUUUUCUUUUUCUCCCUGUGUCUUAAUGCCAGGGAGUGGUUUUGAGACCAAGUCCCUUAUCUGCAUCAUUAAAUUGUUCCUUUGCUGAGUCCUUAUGGUGUAAAGACAUAAACACCUGGACAUAAGGGAUUUCAUCAUAUUUCCCUGACUUAUGGCAAAACAAUUACAAUUACGUGGUGGUGUAGUAAUUUAGGGAACAAUUUAGGGGCCAUUUCCCCCCACCCUGUAAUCUAAGAUAUAUAUCUUAGGCCAAGCAGUGUUAUAAAUACAAAACCAGUUCCUUCUUAGUCAUUGGAUCAUAGCUGUACUUGGACCAAUCUGCUAAAAUUCUGCCCAGUGGGCUCCCUUCAAGAGUUGCAACAGAACAACCCCUGAGGACAUGAAAAUACAAACCCAAACCAUAACCAUAGAAAGACCCCAGACAAAGUGGGAACACAUGAACAAAACUUGGAUCCAUCAGUUCAUUGAUCCAAAUGAGUGCUUACAAGUAAGUUCUAGAGUCUUAUCUCCUGCCGGCUAAUACCACAAAUGGUUCUGACUAGACCCAAAUGGCAUGAAGCCCAAGUGGUAUGAAGCCCAACCAGCAAGGAUAGCCUGCCAGUUGAUACUACAGAUGAUCCUAACUGGACCCAAGUGGUACAGAGCCCAAAUGGCAGGGCUUAGGACCCCGCAGUGUGCAUGCUGGUUUGACCCCAGUCCUGGGGUCCAUCUACUCUCCAGAAACCCAUUUCCUUUUCACUAGCCAAGUGUUUCAGUAGGCUGACACCUUGAGAAGGAGAGCAGGAAAAUUUCCCAAGAAAGGUUCUCAGCAACUGUGGGAAGUCCUCAUAGUCCUUCUGGGGUUGGCCUGUCACAGGCAGCUGGGACCCCAGCUAUGGCCCUCUGGAACUUACCCUGACCUACAUGGCCCCAGUGGAGUCACCAAAAACUGUUACUGGAAACAGGUUUGGCUGCCUGCUGCAACUAAAGCCAAACCCGUGAGGCAGGUGCUCGUACAGAAGGAGGUUUUAUCAAGCACCAUGCCCUGGGAGAAUGGUGGACUUCUGUCUCAAAAGAUCAUCCCUGUGGUUCUCACAGGGACAGAGAGGGGAGGGCUUUCUUUCUAUUCAAUUAUCUUUAGCUUUUGGAGUACUUGAGGCCCUAUCCAUUCAUCUUUCUAGCUUUUGGUGCACCGGGGCCCUGUCCAUCUCGGACCUUUGGUUCACUCUGUGAAAACCCCCUCUUGCGCCAUCUUGGCCAAUGGGGGAGACUCCCUGGUGCUCACUGACUGUAGUAACAUUGAGAGUAAGUUUUCUUCAGACUCCCUCUUUGAGACUCUUCAGUAGGCUGAGUUGCCUGCCCUCCAUUCCAGUGUCCUUUCCUUUUUCUUCCCUGGCCUUGUGGGAGCCCCAGUGACAGCUUCCUAGAGGUCCUUCACCCUGGGCAUUCCCCAUGCCCACUCAGCUGUUCACACUCGUCCAAAGACCAGCCUCUUGCUACCAGUGUUUCUCAGGGGAGGGAUGAACCGGGGAAAGGGUCAGGGGCUUCAGACAAACUAGGUAACUCAGGACAUGACUGGGACAGGGAGGUUCUCCCAGUGUCCCCUGUGGUGCAGAGGAGCAGUGAAGCAGCUCCUUGGGAACCCCCAAGCACCACUUGCCCCCAUUCAGAUGGCUCAAAGCUGGGGUGCCUCAUUUCCUAGCAGAAACCUCACUUAAUUUAGAGACAGAUUACUUAAAUGUUAAACAGACCCUGUGUUCCUUUUUCUCUACAAGAUAAUCUUUUGGGUCCCGAGGUUUAUUAAACCUCUGUUCCUGAAGGAGGGAUAUGCUAGUGAGCCACUUCUACUUGAUAGGCCUUGCAAGUAUUUAUAAAACCACUUAGUAAUGAAGAUGUCUCAGAAUAUUAUCAUCAAUAGAACACAUGGUCAAGUAACAAACAACCAGUCACAAUUAAACUUUCAUAGGACACAGCAUCAGUUUCUAGUUUUGAUUUUCACAGUUUUUGUGUAAGUGGGCAGAUUUAAAUAAAAUCAACAUAAAGUGCAACAUGUUGCUCUUAGAUAAAGACUCUGGUUUCCUAUUUGUGAGAACAAAACUGCCCACUAGUGAAAGUUUUCAGUCCCACAGCUUGGAUCAGCCACUGAAUUUGUUGUGACUAAAAAAUGUCAUCUGUCCCUCUGCAUGGGCCACCUCUCCUGCUUGCCUUUGUGUGUAGGCACCUCCUUUUUUCACUUUUAAAGACUUGACCCUGAUGGCUGGGCUCCAGAGCACUUGGGAGCAUCACUUUUUUGCCUUCUGAGACCCAGUGGACCUGGAGACAGUGCCUGGCUGGCACCCAAUAGUAAGGUGCCUUUUUCCAUGCUGUGUGGUAAACCAUACAGCUGAGGAACCUAAGGAGGUAGACAUGGCUGUGACUAGAAGGAAGUCUGGCACCAGUGACCCCAGAGGUGAGACCCCUGUGGGGUCAGGGGCCCCACUGGAGUGAGGGGAGCAGAGUGAGGGCAGAGAAAGUUUAGGCCAGAAAAUGUGUGAGCUUCUGAGAUGGUCUUUUGUGCAGAAAGGACAGAACUAUUUUCAGCAGAAUACAGAAACUGCUGUCCAGGCGACUUUCCUCUGUACUGCUGACCUCCAGUCCCUGGUCGUACACGGUGUAAUCUUCUAGAAUCUUCCCCUCACUUGUGACCUGUGUUGGGAGGUCAACACAGGCUUGGACACAGGCUGAGUCUGUAGGCACCUGUUAGCCAAUGCUAGGAGUUAGCUAAGAAAUUUAGAAAUGUGAGGCAGCUCCAGCAUGCAAAAGAGCAGACUUAAAAAAAUAGUUCUAGGCCCUCCUGCCUCCUACUGGUUUCCUGUGACCCUAAGGCCCCCACCUGUUCUUGCUCUCCAGUCAGAUGUCCCUCCUGCACCCUGCAGGCAGCCCCUGGACCCGACACUUUCGAAAAGGUCUGUGUGGGUCUGUAUAUGUCUCAAAUGCAGGCUACUGGACUGUCCUGUGCAGGUUUUAGCUAACCAUUUCUUUCUUUUAAUAGUUCCUUAGUUUUUUUUCUGCAUGGCUAUUUGCUCAGUUGCCACUGGUUCUGAUUUUGCACUCUGCACUUUUUCCUCAUUCUAAUGUAGUGAUAACAGCCUUCCAUGUACUUUUUAGGUCUCUACUUCCAGAAUGCUGUUGCAAAUAUUUAUGCUUUUCCAAGGGCAUUAGGAAGUGACACUUCCACACAUAUUAGAAGCUUAGAGGUAUCAUGUGACUCAUCAAAGUGACAGUCUGGGCUGAUUUGGGAUAUCAGAAGCCUCUGCCACACACUUGCACAGAAUCCCAGAGGACCACAGCUUCUGAUGGGCUGGGGCCAUUGCACACCUGAGGAGAAAUGCUUUGGAGACAAGCUGAGGCAGUUGGACCAGCUGGGGCAUCUGAAGUCCCUAUACUUGGGCAGGGCUGGUCAGCAGCUUUGAGGACUUGGAGUUGGAAAGGCUCAGGUGGGUGGACUCAGGCCUGCUGGUGGGAAAUGCAGAAAAUGCAAUGGGGACACCAUGGGGAAUGGCUACUCAGUCAUAGUACAUGGAAAACAGAGCUAGCAAGUAUCUAACCCUACACUGGCCAUCCUGCAAAUGUCCCUAGGCUGGUCUCUGGAGUUUGGUAUUGCUGUAGUGUGUGUGUGUUUCAGUUGGGUAAUUCACAAUACAUAAAGUUAACUAUUUUAAGUGGACAAUUCUGGAAUUUAGCACAGCCACAAUGUUGUACAGCCACCAUGUCUGUCUUAUUCCAAAACAUUUUCAUCACCUCAAAAAGGAGACCCUGAACUCGUUAGCAGGAUUUGCCUUUUGUGGAUGUUUUAUAUAAAUGGGUUCAUACACUG